rnacentral:lncRNA from 1 species
GACAUUUUGAGAAAAUACCAGCCUUGUCAUUCUUCUUGUAAAACCUGCGAUGAGUCUGCGACUCUGUGCACCUCGUGUCCCAAAGGAAUGUACCUGUGGGCUCAGGCUUGUGUGUCCUCCUGUCCCCAAGGCACAUGGCCUUCUGCGAGGAGUGGCAGCUGUGAGAACUGUACAGAGGACUGUGCCUCUUGCUCUGGAACCGAUCUUUGCAAGAGGUGCUGGGUUCAGCCCGACCGCCCUCUCUUCCUCCAUGACGGCAGAUGCUUCACCAAGUGCCCCGAGUACGUGUCCAUCUUCCCUUUACUUCCUGUUGGUGUCAUUGUCCCGCAGCACUUUGGGCAGCAAUGCCCUCUUCGUUGAAGAGCUGUCCUCUCUAGUUAGAACAGCCACAUAAAUGUCCUCUUUUGAUGACUUGACAUCACUGUUGGCCAC